CACGAACGUUUUCUGUUGUUUUUCCUUCAUGUCACGCAAAGAGGAGUGCUAGACGAGACGUUCAUUUUCACCGUUUCUAAGAGACCACGGAAGAGGCAUUUCGAUGUGUCAUGUGUAAUAAUCUUCUGAAACUUUCCAAGUCAGCUAACUCCACUGACGACCUUGAGAGUCUUUUGCUUAGGGCCAAAAAUGUAAAUGAAUCAAGCACUAGUACUUUCCAGGAAUGUCCAGGUGUUAGUUGUUUCUUAGAAGAUAAUUGGAAAAUAGACAAAAAAACUGGUUGUCACAUGAAAAAUAAUAUUCAACAAGACUGGAAGGUACAUUGGCACGUGAAUGGAAUAAGAUUUAGCCUGUGAAAAUUCUUUUAGAUAAGACUCCUGUAGUGUCUCAUGGUAAAUUGACAUUUGGCAGUUUAUAAGUGGAAUCAGAGGAUCUCCAGUGUCUUGAUUUUAUAGAGAAAAUUUUAUAUUGCAAAUGUAAUGGCAUAAGAACCAUUUAAAAAAAAGUAUGAUCCAUAUCUUCGCAAAAUUUAAAGUUAAAUGUGUUGAAAACUAUGACGCAGUCUGUGAAACAUGGUGAAGAAGCAAAGUCCCAGAAUAGGAAAUAGAAGAAAGUUCUACAUUUGUCAAAUUUUAUUUCAACUUAUCUUUUGUAUGUGCAUUUGCAAAUAAACCAGAAAAAUAA